rnacentral:lncRNA from 1 species
AUGACGUACUAUGACAAAGCUGUCGGGGAAGGGAGAGAAGUCACACAAAAAAGCCAUGCACCAAGGUGCUACUCCACCCCUGAACUGACAGCAAGCCAGGCAGAGAGACUGGAGAGGCCAUGGACUCUCAGUGGGCUGGAAAAGGAUCUGUCUUCUUCCCAGCACCUUCAGGCUGCUGCUGGUGGCCCGAGUGCAGCAGGGAUGUUGCUGUAUAGGCAAAAGCUGGAUCCAACCUUUGGUACCUACCAGCACUUCAUGCUGGAGACAGGCCAGGCCCUGCAACACGAGGCUCAGCAGAACAAGAACAUGGCCCUGCGCUCCUCGGUUUUGGUGGAAGACUGCUUUAACCUUGACCGGAGCUCUACCUACAGCACCGAUUUCCAGCGCCAGCCUGCAGCCUACAGUGGAUGCUGUACAGCAAAUAAGAAUGUGUCUCACGUUUUCACUGAAGAUCAGCACUUCCACCAGAACCGCUGGGUAUCUGAGUACAAGGACAACUACAGCAUUCACUUGCACAGGCUGAAUUGGGCAUCUCAAGGCCCCGCUGCAGAGCUCCACUCUGCCUUGAAGCCCCAAGGGCCGUCCUCCCAGAGUGAGGUUGCACCAGACACAGCCCAGUGACUGGUGCUGCAUG